UGGUAAUGACAUUGAAAAAGAUUGCACUGCUGCUUUUAAACAAUCUGAAGCUAAUUUUGACCAGUUUUGUUGUGAAGUUAUUGGAAGUAGCAUCAAAGAUAUAGAAAAAAGAGUAAAAAGCUC